rnacentral:lncRNA from 1 species
GUUCCCAGCGCUCGGCUUCUGAGCCGUAGCCUCGGACCACAGCCACACAAAGGGCUGGGCGCGCGUUCCAGCCUCGACCAGAACGCAGCGGCGUGAAACCCAGGAAGGGGCCCUUGCCAGAAGUCAGGAAUCCGCUACUUUGUCCCUCUGCUUCCGUUCUGCUCCGUCCGCAGGUAACACAUCUCAAGUGGCUGUCUGCCAAGGUCAGAAAUUUAGAUCUGAAGAAGCCCAAUGCCUGAAUGCCACGCCUUCUCGUCCCGCCUACUGUUGGUCUUCACUGGUCUCAGCUGCGCUAGGAAAUUCCAUUUCCUAAGAUAAGUAUUUACUCCUGGGGUGGGGAAUGGGAGUGGGGGAUGGGGGUAGGGGGUGGUGGGAGGGACGGGUGACUCAAUUUCCGUAAUUCCUUGUACUAGGCAGCUGAAAGUGAGUUCCACGCCUGCCUGGGCUACACAGUAAAACACACACACACACACACACAAAUAAAAUAAGGUAAGACUAAAGAAAAACUGGAACACUUCGCAGACAAGUAAAGUGGGCCGUGGAGCAACAUCUUAGCUAAAGUAAAAUCCAAGAAAGCACAGGAGACUUAGACUAUAGUUACAGGAUAGCUCAGUAGUUAGAGAGGAUUCCAGGACACCUAGCACAGAGAGACCUGUAACCAGGGAACCCCACACUCUUCGUUUGGUACCAUCCCAUAUGUGGCAUUCACUCAUACAGACUCAGGAC